rnacentral:lncRNA from 1 species
GCCCUUCUCCGUUCUGAAAUUCUAAUUUAUUUUCUAAUAAAAGUAGUCCAGUUCAAUCCCCUAAAUGGGCAGAUAUGUAUUUUACACGACACUAAAAUGUUCUAAUCUUCCAUUACUGGAGCUUGAUUUGCUCGCGUAGUGGGAUCACCAAAACCCAGCAAAACCCUAGCUGGUAAAAUUAUUUCACCUUCUUCCAUAGCAAAUCCUUUGUUUCUCUUGCGUGGUUCUAGCGAUUGUUAGCCUCUAAUGGCUUCCAUUCUUCGAAAAUCUCUGAGAAACCAACUUCUCUCAGCGGCAAGAACCACCACUAACCUUAAUAGAUCAACAAUUCUCAGCUCUAAACCUACACUGACAUCAUCUUUGGCCCAUCAUCCUUCGUCCAGCAGGCUUGGUAAAAACCCAUUUUUUCGUCAACUGGGAACAAUGGAUCCAAAUCUGAAUGUUGGGUUUUACCCAAGCUUAAUCACCUUUGCCCCAUCAUCCUUCUUCCAGCAGGCUCGGGAAAAUCCCAUUUUAUCCUCAACCAGGAACAGUGGAUCCAAAUCUGAAUGUUGGGUUUUAUCCAAGCUUUUCUUUUGGGCAUUUCCUAAAUCCAGUUUCUCC